GCCAGGCUCAGUGGCACAUGCCUGUAAUCCUAGCAGCUCAGGAGGCUGAGACAGGAGGAUCUUGAGUUCAAAGCCAGCCUUAGUAAAAAUAAGGUGCUAAGCAACUCAGUGAGACCCUGUCUCUA
rnacentral:sRNA from 1 species